UUGGUCUAAAAUCACCACUUUCUUCUUAACAUCUUGAACAUGUCCUUGACAAUAUUCUAGAGCUUCUCAAACUUAGAGUCUGCCUCCUAAUUUAAUGCAAUCCCUAAACAUCUUCUAUAGGCGAAAUAAGGUAGGCUCAACCUUACUCAACAAUCUUCCACUACAUGAUUUUAAAUGUAGUACUUCUAGUACUUAGUGUUCCUUCACACAGCGCAUGAAAUGCAACCAUAUAAUUUGAAGCACUCUUCCGUGUCAUUGCAAAAGACCUUCUGAAUCAUCACGCCUUCAAUAAGGAAAUAGAUUUUGCUCCUCUGAGCAUCUUUACAGGGUAUGCGUCACCAUACGUAAUCCUAAGUCAUGGAAUGACCUUAGUCAAUGCUCUCACUCCGGCUACUAAACUAAAUGCCUAAUCCAAGACGUUCUAACUGAGGCGAUGUCCUUGAUAGGUUAAGGUAUGUAUAUUUAUCUUGAGUAUAUCCUUAGGGUCU
rnacentral:lncRNA from 1 species